GAAGCAUGGUGGGGGCAUUUGCGAAUGAGGUCCCUUAACCUUUUCCACAUCUCAAAAAAAAGUUUACCAUCCAGUUAGAAAAAACUAGUGAUGACUUUUCUAAUUUG